UUCACCUUAGGAAGUGUAAUGGCUCAGAUUUGGGUGUAAGCAAGAUAAAUGUCAGUUAAGAAUGACAAAGAAUACUGAAUUUAUGAAGAACAGUUUUGAUAUUCUGAAGGAACUGGAGGAGUGCCAACAUUAAUGCUAAGCUCACCUUGAACCAUGUGGGAGCUGAAGGCACAGAAGGCUGUUCCUGUCACCUCAAAUAGGGACAUCAAGGGAUGUACCUUAAUACCAACCUUCGGCUCAUCAGACAUAUGCACAGACUUGGAGAUGAGUGACUUGGAUCCUGUUCUCACAGGAUGUAUUUGUCUUUUGUUCAGACCUUGUGCUUCUAGUAAGUGCUUUUGUUUGCUUAUUUAUAACACUGCCCUUGAUUUUUCAGAUUCCAUUGAACUUCACACUGAACUCUCUCUGCACACGAUUCUAUCUUCAGUUUCUUCCUACAGGAUGUAUGAAUUGGUGCCUUGAUCAGGGAGCAAUCUAGCAAUAUGGUACCUGGUCUUUAUGAUUACAGAUGGAAGAA